CCGGCAGAAACUCCUCCUCCUCGCGUGAUUCACGUCCGUUUAGCUCAGCGACUGCGCGGAAGAGCCUGGCUUGCGAGGCUAGAACUCGUCUACACGGGUGCUUCCACCUUCUUUCUCAAUGCAAAGGGUUCAGCUACUCUAUCCAAACGCAGGGCAACGGCCAACCGAUGAUCAUGAGAAAACAAGGAGAACGGUGAUUUUGAGAGAACGUCGUCGACAGGCGCUUCGCACGAAACCUCUCUGCUGGAGAACAACAGCAUGAAGCGCGUCAUCUAGGGAAUUAAGAAUCCAGAAUCUAAGGGGAAAUGGAGGGCGCUGACGAUUGAGAACCCGAACUAUCAGGUAGAGCGUAGAGCGUGUUUGUGUUGAUUUGAGUGUGAAAGGAAUGUUGGAAGGUGGAAGCCGCGGAGAAUUCCGAACCCAGAUUUCUAUGAAGUCGCGAAUCCAUUCCAAAUGACGUCAAUCCUAUGUUAUUGUGUUUGCGCGCGUGCGUGUUUGUGUGCGUGCGUGCGUGUGUGUGUGUGUGUGUGUGUGUGUGUGUGUGUGUGUGUGUGUGUGCGCGCGCGCGCGCGCGUGUGUCUGUCUGUCUGUCUGUCUGUCUAAGCGGAUUCCCACUAGUGGUCAAACGAUGGUUAGGUUACCAUAGCAUGGUAAAUUUUGUACUAGUGUGAACGCAAACCUUGGUUAAACCAUGGUUAACUCAUGGUUAGAUAACCAACUUCCAGACCUUGGUUAGAGGAUGAUUAGGGUUGGUUAUGCAUUGGGACUAAAGUGUCACUGCAAUGUGGGAAGAGUUUCGGAGGUGUUGUUAGUAAUUAAGUUCCACAUGCAUGGCGACCAGCAGCAGUUUUUCUUCUCUGUUAGCUAUAUUCUUUCUAAUUCAAAUGGAAGAAGAAGGACACAGAGGAGACGAAUGGUCUACUUGUUUUUCCUAGUGGCGCAGUCAUUGCUCCUGCUGCUUAUCCCCUCUAGACGUCCCACUAGGAGAAGCAUAUGGAUGGAUGAAACAAGUUACUCUGUCUGGUGGGAAUGGAUGCUCAAGAGUAUGUGCUAAUAGAAUGAUGGCUUGUAGAUUUGCCAAUGUGAACCCACCAGUUUUAAUUAAUAAAGGGGAACUCACACACAAAAACAAGUUGCUUUUAAAAAAUAGCCUUGUCUUCGAGAAGUUCAACGGUACCCUAGUCGCCAGCCAAAGGGACUGCGUAAAGGAGAAAAUUGCGUUUUAAAUGAUCCCAGAUGACCAUGCGCGUGAGGUAUGAUCUUGAAUAGCGCAACGAGACUUUCUACAUCAAACCGCCUGAUUGGAUACAACACUUGAACAUUCACCUUCACUGUGAGGUCUGGAACUCUGAGGAAACACUUUAUCAACUUCCACUUUGCCGUUUACGUCUCUUCUCAAGUUCUAGUCGAUCUGAAGUUUCCUAACUCCAAUUUGAGACUUGCCGGGAAUGGAGAAAGAAGUCUGUUUAGAUUUCCAUUUGAUUGAGUGUGGUUGAGAGAGUGGAUUCUGCGUUUGAGGCUAAAAGGGAGGCAGUCGGACCACAUUCCAGAGGUGCCAUUGGAUUAGAAUUAUGGUUGAUGUCUGACAACAUUCUGUUCGACAACUUCCUGAUUACAACUAAUCGUUCAGUUGCCUUUCAAGUGGGAGACAACGGUUGGAGAAAGAAAUCUGUUAAAGAAGGUCGCAGUGCAAGUGGACUCCUCGACAGCUUGGUUGAUGCGACUCUCGAUCGUCCGUGGUUGUGGAGCUUCUACGCUCUUGCAUUAGUUCUGCCGUUUGCUGUCGAGUGAAGGUAUUCCUUUCAAUCCACAGUUAUGUUGCAGACAGGGUUACAUGAUGUUAUCAUGAUCUCAAGUUCGUUCAGCUGUGGCAUUGUAGCUCAAAAUAUAUACUACAAAGUCAUUUGCAUAAUAUCCUUGCGCAUGCGUAUAUUGACUUUU